rnacentral:rRNA from 1 species
GAUGAACGCUAGCUACAGGCUUAACACAUGCAAGUCGCGGGGCAGCAUGUCGGUUGCUUGCAACCGAUGAUGGCGACCGGCGCACGGGUGAGUAACGCGGAUCCAACUUGCCCUUCACCACGGAAUAAUCCGGUGAAAAUUGGACUAAUACCGUAUGAGGUCAUACGCUGGCAUCAGAAUAGGACGAAAGGUUUGGCGGUGAAGGAUGGGGAUGCGUCUGAUUAGCUUGUUGGUGAGGUAACGGCUCACCAAGGCGACGAUCAGUAGGGGUUCUGAGAGGAAGGUCCCCCACAUUGGAACUGAGACACGGUCCAAACUCCUACGGGAGGCAGCAGUGAGGAAUAUUGGUCAAUGGGCGAGAGCCUGAACCAGCCAAGUAGCGUGCAGGAAGACGGCCCUAUGGGUUGUAAACUGCUUUUAUAUGGGGAUAAAGUGAGCUACGUGUAGUUUAUUGCAGGUACCAUAUGAAUAAGGACCGGCUAAUUCCGUGCCAGCAGCCGCAGUAA